CGAGCAGGAUAGAUGAUCGCUGCCAUGCAUACGAAAGGGCAUGGGAGAGGAAAGUCCGGGCUUCGCAGGGCAGGAUGCCAGAUAACGUCUGGCGGAGGCAACUCCCGAGAUAGUGCAACAGAGAGAUACCGCCAAGCCUCUGGCUUGGUAAGGGUGGAAAGGCAGUGUAAGAGACUACCGUGCCGGUGGUAACACCGGUAGCCAUGUAAACCUCAUCCGAAGCAAGACCGAAUAGAAAGCUAUGAGUCGGCCCGGCUCGCUUUCAGGUGGGUCGCUUGAGACUGCCGGUGACGGCAGCCCUAGAUAGAUGAUCAUCCACGACAUAACCCGGCUUACAGUCCUGCUCACAGC
rnacentral:RNase_P_RNA from 1 species